rnacentral:lncRNA from 1 species
GUGAUUGGAGUCACUGAUGUAGUCCUCUAAUCAGAUGAGAUGAUGUGCUCCACUUUAUGAGCCUGUUUGCCUGAGAGCUGAAGGAAUCCUGAGGAAUCCUGAGAAUCUUGAGGAAUCCUUGCUUGACUGGGAAAACUUCCAAAAUGGUUUGCAAGGUACAUUUGAAUUCUCCAACUACAUCCAGUUCUGAAAGCUUUAGGAAUUAUGAAUCCACAUGCAAAAUGAGCUCUUAGUAACAAUCGGAAGCAACCUGAGAUUUAAUGUAAGGCAUCAAAGAGAAGGAAGGGCAGCUCUGGAUCGCAAUCCCUUUUGGGAACUGAGCCAUGAGGAGGAUUAAAAUUGCUAACAUGAGGAUAAGAG